GAUGAACGCUGACAGAAUGCUUAACACAUGCAAGUCAACUUGAACUUCGGUUUGGGUGGCGGACGGGUGAGUAACGCGUAAAGAACUUGCCUCACAGAUAGGGACAACAUUUGGAAACGAAUGCUAAUACCUGAUAUUAUGAUUAUAUGGCAUCGUAUAAUUAUGAAAGCUAUAUGCGCUGUGAGAGAGCUUUGCGUCCCAUUAGCUAGUUGGAGAGGUAACGGCUCACCAAGGCGAUGAUGGGUAGCCGGCCUGAGAGGGUGAUCGGCCACAAGGGGACUGAGACACGGCCCUUACGCCUACGGGAGGAAGAAGUGGGGAAUAUUGGACAAUGGACCAAGAGUCUGAUACAGCAAUUCUGUGUGCAAGAUGAAGUUUUUCGGAAUGUAAAGUGCUUUCAGUUGGGAAGAAAAAAAUGACGGUACCAACAGAAGAAGUGACGGCUAAAUACGUG
rnacentral:rRNA from 1 species